rnacentral:rRNA from 1 species
GCAAGUCGAACGGGAAACCUUUUAUUGAAGCUUCGGCAGAUUUAGCUGGUUUCUAGUGGCGGACGGGUGAGUAACGCGUGGGUAACCUGCCUUAUACAGGGGGAUAACAACCAGAAAUGGUUGCUAAUACCGCAUAAGCGCACAGGACCGCAUGGUCCGGUGUGAAAAACUCCGGUGGUAUAAGAUGGACCCGCGUUGGAUUAGCUAGUUGGCAGGGUAACGGCCUACCAAGGCGACGAUCCAUAGCCGGCCUGAGAGGGUGAACGGCCACAUUGGGAUUGAGACACGGCCCAGACUCCUACGGGAGGCAGCAGUGGGGAAUAUUGCACAAUGGGGGAAACCCUGAUGCAGCGACGCCGCGUGAAGGAAGAAGUAUCUCGGUAUGUAAACUUCUAUCAGCAGGGAAGAUAGUGACGGUACCUGACUAAGAAGCCCCGGCUAACUACGUGCCAGCAGCCGCGGUAAUACGUAGGGGGCAAGCGUUAUCCGGAUUUACUGGGUGUAAAGGGAGCGUAGACGGACUGGCAAGUCUGAUGUGAAAGGCGGGGGCUCAACCCCUGGACUGCAUUGGAAACUGUUAGUCUUGAGUGCCGGAGAGGUAAGCGGAAUUCCUAGUGUAGCGGUGAAAUGCGUAGAUAUUAGGAGGAACACCAGUGGCGAAGGCGGCUUACUGGACGGUAACUGACGUUGAGGCUCGAAAGCGUGGGGAGCAAA